GGGCUUCUGCUCUUCUCGCGUGCGGCCAUUUUUCCACUGGCCUAUAACUUUUCCGAGGGGGCUGGCUCUGACGUGACCCUGGUCUCGUUACCUGGCGCCCACCUGGUACUCCAGGCUUUCGGGAAAUCUCGUGCCGUCGCGGUUGCUGCGGUUCCCGC
rnacentral:misc_RNA from 1 species